rnacentral:rRNA from 1 species
GACGAACGCUGGCGGCGUGCUUAACACAUGCAAGUCGAACGAUGAAGCCGGAGCUUGCUCUGGUGAAUUAGUGGCGAACGGGUGAGUAACACGUGAGUAACCUGCCCUUGACUCUGGGAUAACUGCUAGAAAUGGCAGCUAAUACCGGAUACGACCCUCGGAGGCAUCUCCAGGGGGUGGAAAGAAUUUCGGUCAAGGAUGGACUCGCGGCCUAUCAGCUAGUUGGUGAGGUAACGGCUCACCAAGGCGGCGACGGGUAGCCGGCCUGAGAGGGUGACCGGCCACACUGGGACUGAGACACGGCCCAGACUCCUACGGGAGGCAGCAGUGGGGAAUAUUGCACAAUGGGCGCAAGCCUGAUGCAGCAACGCCGCGUGAGGGAUGACGGCCUUCGGGUUGUAAACCUCUUUUAGUAGGGAAGAAGCGAAAGUGACGGUACCUGCAGAAAAAGCACCGGCUAACUACGUGCCAGCCGCCGCAGUAA